AAUUAAGAAAUGAAUUUUCAUAUAUGGUUUCGACCCAUAAUUAGGUAUUAAUAUACCCUUAAUUC
rnacentral:tRNA from 1 species